rnacentral:lncRNA from 1 species
AUAAAGUAUUCCUUAUGUAUAGAAAACUAGAGACAUAAAAUUUCCUUGGGGGAUAAGCAUAGGCCAGCCAGCACUGUGUUAAUGACUUCAUUAAUGAAUCCCUAAAGAACAAAACUGUGAACGUGGAUGGCCAAGGCGGUGCCAGAGAUGGGGCUUGAUCCAGCCAGAGCAAAGCCAGAAUCUCCCCAUGGAGGCCUUUCAGACAGACAGACAGCCCUGAAAGUGGGGGAAGGAUAGAGCCGCUCAUCCUACCCUGAAUCCUUAGAUAUUUUAGAACUGAUGCCAAAUUAAAAAGCCCAUCCCCUGUC